CGGCCGGUGAGGUAGGAUGUAAACCAGGAGAGUGCAGCACCAGUGAUCCCAAUACCAGCUAGGCGGUCCAGGAGCAGAGGGUGGGAGAUGGUGUCGAAUGCUGCGCUGAGAUCGAGGAGGAUGAGAAUGCGUGUUGCGGGUACUGGACUGGAUGCCUGGACCCUCCUCAUGGAUAACCGGCCAGAACCGCAUCACCAUUUUAAUAUGAUUUGCAUGUAUUUACCUGUAUGUCCAUUGUGGCACCCAUUGCACUCCUGACCAUCCCUGGAAGAAGGGAUCCCCUACAUUGCGUUUCUUCUCAAGAUUUCUUCCUUGCUGAUUCAAGGGAGUUUUUUCUUGCCCGUGUGGGGGCAUGGGUAAAGGGGGGUGUCACAAAUAUUUGGCCUGUUAAGCCCUUUGAGACUGUAAUGGUGAUUAAGGGCUAUACAAAUAAAAUUGAAUUGAAUU
ensembl:lncRNA